rnacentral:rRNA from 1 species
UGAGGAAUUUUGCGCAAUGGGAGAAAUCCUGACGCAGCAACGCCGCGUGGGUGAUGAAGGCCUUCGGGUCGUAAAGCCCUGUCGGGUGGGAAGAAGAGGCAGGGGGCAAAGAGCCCCAUUGGCCGUGACGGUACCACCAGAGGAAGCACCGGCUAACUCCGUGCCAGCAGCCGCGGUAAUACGGAGGGUGCGAGCGUUACUCGGAAUUACUGGGCGUAAAGCGCGUGCAGGCGGGCGGGCCAGUCCGAUGUGAAAGCCCCGGGCUUAACCCGGGAAGUGCAUUGGAAACUGCUCGUCUUGAGUGUCGGAGAGGAAGGGUGAAUUCCCGGUGUAGAGGUGAAAUUCGUAGAGAUCGGGAGGAACACCAGUGGCGAAGGCGCCCUUCUGGACGAAUACUGACGCUGAGACGCGAAAGCGUGGGGAGCAAACAGGAUUAGAUACCCUGGUAGUCCACGCCGUAAACGAUGAGAACUAGGUGUAGCGGGUACUCAUUCCUGCUGUGCCGCA